GAUGAACGCUGGCGGCGUGCUUAACACAUGCAAGUCGAACGGUGAAGCAGGAGCUUGCUCUUGUGGACCAGUGGCGAACGGGUGAGUAACACGUGAGCAACCUGCCCCUGACUCUGGGAUAAGCGCUGGAAACGGCGUCUAAUACUGUAUAUGUGAUGUGACCGCAUGGUCUGCAUCUGGAAAGAAUUUCGGUUGGGGAUGGGCUCGCGGCCUAUCAGCUUGUUGGUGGGGUAAGGGCUCACCAAGGCGUCGACGGGUCGCCGGCCUGAGAGGGUGACCGGCCACACUGGGACUGAGACACGGCCCAGACUCCUACGGGAGGCAGCAGUGGGGAAUAUUGCACAAUGGGCGGAAGCCUGAUGCAGCAACGCCGCGUGAGGGAUGACGGCCUUCGGGUUGUAAACCUCUUUUAGCAGGGAAGAAGCGAAAGUGACGGUACCUGCAGAAAAAGCACCGGCUAACUACGUGCCAGCCGCCGCCGUAA
rnacentral:rRNA from 1 species